UUUGCCACAAUGAAUUUAAACCAACUAGGCAUUUCACCUUUAUCCGCCAUUGUACCUAUCAAGAACUACUAAACAAACAUCACAAAAACAGCAAACACAUUAAAGGUUAGCAAAAAUCAGUCCACAAUUCAUCUCAAAAUAGUCUGCAAUCUCUCUAGCUCACACUUUUGAAGUAUUCACUCUGUUGGCCUCACAAGUGUUGAUAACUCACUUAUACUUCAAUGAGCUUACUUGG
rnacentral:lncRNA from 1 species